UACGGAGGAUGCGAGCGUUAUCCGGAUUUAUUGGGUUUAAAGGGUGCGUAGGCGGAUCGAUAAGUCAGUGGUGAAACCCUGCAGCUUAACUGUAGACUUGCCGUUGAUACUGUUGGUCUUGAGUGUGGUCAAGGUAGGCGGAAUGUGUAAUGUAGCGGUGAAAUGCUUAGAUAUUACACAGAACACCGAUUGCGAAGGCAGCUUACUGGGCCAUUACUGACGCUGAUGCACGAAAGCGUGGGGAUCGAACAGG
rnacentral:rRNA from 2 species